rnacentral:rRNA from 1 species
UAGAGUUUGAUCCUGGCUCAGAUUGAACGCUGGCGGCAGGCUUAACACAUGCAAGUCGAGCGGAGAUGAGGUGCUUGCACCUUAUCUUAGCGGCGGACGGGUGAGUAAUGCUUAGGAAUCUGCCUAUUAGUGGGGGACAACAUUCCGAAAGGAAUGCUAAUACCGCAUACGUCCUACGGGAGAAAGCAGGGGAUCUUCGGACCUUGCGCUAAUAGAUGAGCCUAAGUCGGAUUAGCUAGUUGGUGGGGUAAAGGCCUACCAAGGCGACGAUCUGUAGCGGGUCUGAGAGGAUGAUCCGCCACACUGGGACUGAGACACGGCCCAGACUCCUACGGGAGGCAGCAGUGGGGAAUAUUGGACAAUGGGGGAAACCCUGAUCCAGCCAUGCCGCGUGUGUGAAGAAGGCCUUAUGGUUGUAAAGCACUUUAAGCGAGGAGGAGGCUACUGAGACUAAUACUCUUGGAUAGUGGACGUUACUCGCAGAAUAAGCACCGGCUAACUCUGUGCCAGCAGCCGCGGUAAUACAGAGGGUGCGAGCGUUAAUCGGAUUUACUGGGCGUAAAGCGUGCGUAGGCGGCUUUUUAAGUC